rnacentral:miRNA from 1 species
CUAUAGGUUGGUGCAAAAGUAAUCGCGGUUUUUGCCAUUACUUUAAUUAUUUUAAUGGCAAAAACCACGAUAACUUUUGCACCAUCCUAACUACU